GUCCCGUUCGUCUAGAGGCCUAGGACAUCGCCCUUUCACGGCGGCAACACGGGUUCGAAUCCCGUACGGGACG
rfam:Commensalibacter intestini A911 74_12, whole genome shotgun sequence.